rnacentral:rRNA from 1 species
GACGAACGCUGGCGGCGUGCUUAACACAUGCAAGUCGAGCGGUAAGGCCCUUUCGGGGGUACACGAGCGGCGAACGGGUGAGUAACACGUGGGUGACCUGCCCUCAGCUCUGGGAUAAGCCUGGGAAACCGGGUCUAAUACUGGAUAUGACUCCAUGACGCAUGUUGUGGGGUGGAAAGCCUUGUGCGGCUGAGGAUGGGCCCGCGGCCUAUCAGCUUGUUGGUGGGGUGANGGCCUACCAAGGCGACGACGGGUAGCCGGCCUGAGAGGGCGACCGGCACACUGGGACUGAGACACGGCCCAGACUCCUACGGGAGGCAGCAGUGGGGAAUCUUGCGCAAUGGGCGAAAGCCUGAACGCAGCGACGCCGCGUGAGGGAUGACGGCC